GUCGAACGAAAAGACGGAAAGAGCUUGCUCUUUUCAGAAUUGAGUGGCACACUGGUGAGUAACACGUAAACAACCUGCCUUCAGGAUGGGGACAACAGACGGAAACGACUGCUAAUACCGAAUAAGUUCCAAGGGCCGCAUGGCCCAUGGAAGAAAAGGUGGCCUCUACCUGUAAGCUAUCGCCUGAAGAGGGGUUUGCGUCUGAUUAGCUGGUUGGAGGGGUAACGGCCCACCAAGGCGACGAUCAGUAGCCGGUCUGAGAGGAUGAACGGCCACACUGGAACUGAGACACGGUCCAGACUCCUACGGGAGGCAGCAGUGGGGAAUCUUCCGCAAUGGGCGAAAGCCUGACGGAGCAACGCCGCGUGAGUGAUGACGGCCUUCGGGUUGUAAAACUCUGUGAUCCGGGACGAAAAGGCAGAGUGCGAAGAACAAACUGCAUUGACGGUACCGGAAAAGCAAGCCACGGCUAACUACGUGCCAGCAGCCGCGGUAAUACGUAGGUGGCAAGCGUUGUCCGGAAUUAUUGGGCGUAAAGCGCGCGCAGGCGGCUUCCCAAGUCCCUCUUAAAAGUGCGGGGCUUAACCCCGUGAUGGGAAGGAAACUGGGAAGCUGGAGUAUCGGAGAGGAAAGUGGAAUUCCUAGUGUAGCGGUGAAAUGCGUAGAGAUUAGGAAGAACACCGGUGGCGAAGGCGACUUUCUGGACGAAAACUGACGCUGAGGCGCGAAAGCGUGGGGAGCAAACA
rnacentral:rRNA from 1 species